AACGCAUAUUGCGCUCUUUGGUAUUCCGAAGAGCAUGCUUGUUUGAGUAUCAGUAAACACCUCAAAGACUUCAAUUUGUUUUGAAUGGCUUUGGACUUGAGCAAUCCCAACACCAGUCUUUACGAUCGGCGGAGGGUUGCUUGAAAUGCAGGUGCAGCUGGACAUUCUCCUGAGCUAUAAGCAUAUCUAUUUAGUCCCGUCAAACGGAUUAUUACUUUUGCUGCAGCUAACAUAAAGGGAGUCUGACCGUAUUGGCUGACUGAUGCAGGAUUUCACAGGGGUUGGAAACGACUCUUGUAAAACUCGAUCUCAAAUCAAGUAAGACUACCCGCUGAACUUAA
rnacentral:misc_RNA from 1 species